CCUACGGGGGGCAGCAGUGGGGAAUAUUGGGCAAUGGGCGCAAGCCUGACCCAGCAACGCCGCGUGAAGGAAGAAGGCUUUCGGGUUGUAAACUUCUAUUCUCAGGGACGAAGCAAGUGACGGUACCUGAGGAAUAAGCCACGGCUAACUACGUGCCAGCAGCCGCGGUAAUACGUAGGUGGCAAGCGUUAUCCGGAUUUACUGGGUGUAAAGGGCGUGUAGGCGGGACUGCAAGUCAGAUGUGAAAACCAUGGGCUCAACCUAUGGCCUGCAUUUGAAACUGUAGUUCUUGAGUACUGGAGAGGCAGGCGGAAUUCCUAGUGUAGCGGUGAAAUGCGUAGAUAUUAGGAGGAACACCAGUGGCGAAGGCGGUCUGCUGGACGGCAACUGACGCUGAGGCGCGAAAGCGUGGGGAGCAAACAGGAUUAGAUACCCUAGUAGUC
rnacentral:rRNA from 1 species